rnacentral:misc_RNA from 1 species
AUAGUAAUCAUUGGAUUUAUACCUGCAUUGUCAACACAUCACGACAAGCAAAGUGAACCCAACUGAUUCAAUAUCAAUUAGUAUGCAAUAUACUCUAACUAUCCUUUAUGUAAAGUGAUUCAGUCAAAAUAUAUGCUAGGCAAUAUGAGGAAAAAGGCAUAGAAUUUGUCAAAUUCUGUUAGUAAAGUUUGAUGAGCAGUUCUAAAGCAUUGCAUGGUUAUAUCCAGAAAGAUAUUACUCUUUUAAAAACAUUUUAAAUAUUUAAUUGUAUGGUUUUCUGAAACCCUUCCACAUAAAUACAAACAUCUAGACAAUGGAGUACC